AAUCAACGCUGGCGGCGUGCCUAACACAUGCAAGUCGAACGAGAAAGUCCCCGCAAGGGGAUGAGUAAAGUGGCGACCGGGUGAGUAACACGUGGCCAACCUACCCUCGAGCGGGGGAUAACCUGGGGAAACUCGGGCUAAUACCGCAUAACAUCCUGGUGACAUAAGCCAUCGGGAUCGAAGGCCCGCAAGGGUCACUUGAGGAGGGGGCUGCGGCCGAUUAGCUAGUUGGUGAGGUAACGGCCCACCAAGGCAAUGAUCGGUAGCCGGCCUGAGAGGGCGCACGGUCACACUGGCACUGAAAUACGGGCCAGACUCCUACGGGAGGCAGCAGUGGGGAAUUUUGCACAAUGCCCGAAAGGGUGAUGCAGCAACGCCGCGUGAGGGAUGAAGGCCUUCGGGUCGUAAACCUCUUUCGACUGGGAAAAAUGGGCGGGUGAAUAACCCGUUCUGAUGGUACCGGUGGAAGAAGCCCCGGGCAACUACGUGCCAGCAGCCGCGGUAAUACGUAAGGGGCGAGCGUUGUUCGGAA
rnacentral:rRNA from 1 species